rnacentral:rRNA from 1 species
GACGAAGGGGGCUAGCGUUGUUCGGAAUUACUGGGCGUAAAGCGAGUGUAGGUGGUUGUCAUAGUCCGGCGUGAAAGCCUUGAGCUCAACUCAAGAAAUGCGCUUGAUACUGGGCAGCUAGAGGACCGGAGAGGAUAGUGGAAUUCCCAGUGUAGUGGUGAAAUACGUAGAGAUUGGGAAGAACACCAGUGGCGAAGGCGGCUAUCUGGACGGUUUCUGACACUAAGACUCGAAAGCGUGGGGAGCAAACAGG